ACUGGCAUAGCCGGCGGCAUGGCCGGCGUCGUAGGCGCGCUGCAGGCGGGCUUCCUCGGGCUCCGGCUCUGGCUCGGGUUCGGGCGGCGGUCC
rnacentral:tRNA from 1 species